AUUGAACGCUGGCGGCAGGCUUAACACAUGCAAGUCGAGCGGGGUGAUGGUGCUUGCACUAUCACUUAGCGGCGGACGGGUGAGUAAUGCUUAGGAAUCUGCCUAUUAGUGGGGGACAACAUCUCGAAAGGGAUGCUAAUACCGCAUACGUCCUACGGGAGAAAGCAGGGGAUCACUUGUGACCUUGCGCUAAUAGAUGAGCCUAAGUCGGAUAAGCUAGUUGGUGGGGUAAAGGCCUACCAAGGCGACGAUCUGUAGCGGGUCUGAGAGGAUGAUCCGGCACACUGGGACUGAGACACGGCCCAGACUCCUACGGGAGGCAGCAGUGGGGAAUAUUGGACAAUGGGGGGAACCCUGAUCUAGCCAUGCCGCGUGUGCGAAGAAGGCCUUAUGGUUGUAAAGCACUUUAAGCGAGGAGGAGGCUCUUUUGGUUAAUACCCAAGAUGAGUGGACGUUACUCGCAGAAUAGGCACCGGCUAACUCUGUGCCAGCCGCCGCAGUAA
rnacentral:rRNA from 1 species